GUGGUGGUAACUUAGUGGUAGAAUUCUCACCUUCCACGUGGGAGUCCCAGGUUCGAUUCCUGGCUGAUGCA
rnacentral:tRNA from 1 species